AAGUACCAAACGUCCACCCGUAAGUCUACUGAAUUCUCUGAGAUUUUGAGUUAGACGUUCAGAGUGUUCCACGUGGUAUCAAAGCCAACCUUAGGAAAUUCUGUUCUCACAAUCGUAAGUCUACGUUAUCAUUACAUGAAUUAACUCUCCAGAACUGUUCAUUUUGAACUUUUUAAACAUAACUCAAUCUCCCCAGUUGAUUUACAAUGGAUUCUAACGGAUGUUCAGUUUUGUCUUUCCUUUAACCCCCUUUGAUGCUGAAGAACACUAAGGUGAGGUUCAACAACUCAGUUCCUUAGCUUAUUUGUUGUCCCUAUCUGGCAAUGAUGAUCGGUGCGGGUUUUUAAGGAAGUGCAGAUCAUUUCAGGCCACGUGGUUUUUCAUCAACCAAACAAAACUGGCCUUCAGUUUUUAACCUUGUUCUGUUUUUCCAAAAAAUCUUGAAAACUUAUUUUCUUCUCAAGACACAUGAAAUAGAAUGUUGUUUGUACAAAUGCAAUUUAUGGGGUCAAGAACUAUGUUCUAUCCGGGCUAAAUUUAAUGCACUUGUUUCCCUUCUGAC